AGGUGAACCUGCGGAAGGAUCAUUACCGUGGGGCUUCGGCCCCAUUGAGAUAGCACCCUUUGUUUAUGAGUACCCUUGUUUCCUCGGCGGGCUUGCCCGCCAUGAGGACAUUAAAAACCCUUUGUAGUAGCAGUAACUUCAGUUAAUAAUAAAUAUUAAAACUUUCAACAACGGAUCUCUUGGUUCUGGCAUCGAUGAAGAACGCAGCGAAAUGCGAUAAGUAGUGUGAAUUGCAGAAUUCAGUGAAUCAUCGAAUCUUUGAACGCACAUUGCGCCCUUCGGUAUUCCGUUGGGCAUGCCUGUUCGAGCGUCAUUUAAACCUUCAAGCUUUGCUUGGUGUUGGGUGUUUGUUCCGCCUCAGUGCGUGGACUCGCCUCAAAUUCAUUGGCAGCCGGUAUGUUGGCUUCGUGCGCAGCACAUUGCAAGCGAUUUCAGCAGACCCCCUUCCACAAGCCUUUUUUUACUUUGACCUCGGAUCAGGUAG
rnacentral:rRNA from 1 species